rnacentral:rRNA from 1 species
CAGCAGCCGCGGGAAUACAGAGGUCCCGAGCGUUGUUCGGAUUCACUGGGCGUAAAGGGUGUGUAGGAGGUUGGAUAAGUCAGGUGUGAAAUCCCGCAGCUCAACUGCGGAACUGCAUUCGAUACUGUUCAACUAGAGGAUCGGAAGGGGAAGCGGAAUUCUUGGUGUAGCGGUGAAAUGCGUAGAUAUCAAGAGGAACACCGGUGGCGAAGGCGGCUUCCUGGAAGAUACCUGACUCUGAAACACGAAAGCCAGGGGAGCGAAUGGGAUUAGAGACCCCGGUAGUCCUGUCUCUUAUACA